GUCUGCAUGGUGCAGUGGUUCAAGCAAUGGACUCCAACUCUGGAGGCCUGGGGUCAAAUCCCAGAUCAGUCA